rnacentral:rRNA from 1 species
UGCCUAAUACAUGCAAGUAGAACGCUGAAGCUUGGUGCUUGCACCGAGCGGAUGAGUUGCGAACGGGUGAGUAACGCGUAGGUAACCUGCCUCUUAGCGGGGGAUAACUAUUGGAAACGAUAGCUAAUACCGCAUAAAAGUCGACAUUGCAUGAUGUUGACUUGAAAGGUGCAAUUGCAUCACUAAGAGAUGGACCUGCGUUGUAUUAGCUAGUUGGUGAGGUAACGGCUCACCAAGGCGACGAUACAUAGCCGACCUGAGAGGGUGAUCGGCCACACUGGGACUGAGACACGGCCCAGACUCCUACGGGAGGCAGCAGUAGGGAAUCUUCGGCAAUGGGGGCAACCCUGACCGAGCAACGCCGCGUGAGUGAAGAGGGUUUUCGGAUCGUAAAGCUCUGUUGUAAGAGAAGAACGAGUGUGAGAGUGGAAAGUUCACACUGUGACGGUAACUUACCAGAAAGGGACGGCUAACUACGUGCCAGCAGCCGCGGUAAUACGUAGGUCCCGAGCGUUAUCCGGAUUUAUUGGGCGUAAAGCGAGCGCAGGCGGUUAGAUAAGUCUGAAGUUAAAGGCUGUGGCUUAACCAUAGUACGCUUUGGAAACUGUUUAACUUGAGUGCAGAAGGGGAGAGUGGAAUUCCAUGUGUAGCGGUGAAAUGCGUAGAUAUAUGGAGGAACACCGGUGGCGAAAGCGGCUCUCUGGUCUGUAACUGACGCUGAGGCUCGAAAGCGUGGGGAGCAAACAGG